UACGCGGGGAGAAAGGUGUUUGUGUAUAACCCAGCUAUGACGUUUACCGCAGAAGAAGCACGGCUAAAUCCGUGCCAGCAGCCGCGGUAAACGGAGGUGCAAGCGUUAUUCGGAAUUACUGGGCGUAAAGCGCAAGCAGGCGGUCUGUCAAUUGGAUUUGAAAUCCCCGGGCUCAACCUGGGAACUGCAUUCGAAACUGGCAGGCUGGAGUUUUGUAGAGGGGGGUAGAAUUCCAGGUGUAGCGGUGAAAUGCGUAGAGAUCUGGAGGAAUACCGGUGGCGAAGGCGGCCCCCUGGACAAAGACUGACGCUCAGGUGCGAAAGCGUGGGGAGCAAACAGGAUUAGAUACCCUGGUAGUCCACGCCGUAAACGAUGUCGAUUUGGAGGUUGUGCCCUUGAGGCGUGGCUUCCGGAGCUAACGCGUUAAAUCGACCGCCUGGGGAGUACGGCCGCAAGGUUAAAACUCAAAUGAAUUGACGGGGGCCCGCACAAGCGGUGGAGCAUGUGGUUUAAUUCGAUGCAACGCGAAGAACCUUACCUGGUCUUGACAUCCACAGAACUUUCCAGAGAUGGAUUGGUGCCUUCGGGAACUGUGAGACAGGUGCUGCAUGGCUGUCGUCAGCUCGUGUUGUGAAAUGUUGGGUUAAGUCCCGCAACGAGCGCAACCCUUAUCCUUUGUUGCCAGCGGUUAGGCCGGGAACUCAAAGGAGACUGCCAGUGAUAAACUGGAGGAAGGUGGGGAUGACGUCAAGUCAUCAUGGCCCUUACGACCAGGGCUACACACGUGCUACAAUGGCGCAUACAAAGAGAAGCGACCUCGCGAGAGCAAGCGGACCUCAUAAAGUGCGUCGUAGUCCGGAUUGGAGUCUGCAACUCGACUCCAUGAAGUCGGAAUCGCUAGUAAUCGUAGAUCAGAAUGCUACGGUGAAUACGUUCCCGGGCCUUGUACACACCGCCCGUCACACCAUGGGAGUGGGUUGCAAAAGAAGUAGGUAGCUUAACCUUCGGGAGGGCGUUACCACUCGUCUAACG
rnacentral:rRNA from 1 species